rnacentral:rRNA from 1 species
CCUACGGGCGGCUGCAGUCGAGAAUCAUUCACAAUGGGGGAAACCCUGAUGGAGCGACGCCGCGUGGGGGAAUGAAGGUCUCCGGAUUGUAAACCCCUGUCAUGUGGGAGCAAAUUAAAAAGAUAGUACCACAAGAGGAAGAGACGGCUAACGCUGUGCCAGCAGCCGCGGUACUACAGAGGCCUCAAGCGUUGUUCGGAAUCACUGGGCGUAAAGCGUGCGUAGGCGGUUUCGUAAGUCGUGGGUGAAAGGCGCGGGCUCAACCCGCGGACGGCACAUGAUACUGCGAGACUAGAGUGAAGGAGAGGGAACCGGAAGUCUCGGUGUAGCAGUGAAAUGCGUAGAUAUCGGGAGGAACACUCGUGGCGAAGGCGGGUUCCUGGACAGUAACUGACGCUGAGGCACGAAGGCCAGGGGAGCGAAAGGGAUUAGAUACCCUGGUAGUC